rnacentral:misc_RNA from 1 species
GGAAGGAUCAUUACCCAUUCCGGUCUUCGAGACCGCGUCUUCAACUCGCCGCAGGACCCCCCACGAAAGUGGCCGGAAGUGCGGACGAGGCGAAGUAAACCCUUGACUAUGAGCACCUUUUGUUCCCUCGGCGGGCUCGCGCCCGUCGCUGGGCCCAUCCAAACCCCUUUGCAGUAGCCGUACACCUCUGAUCGUGGGCACUUGAAUCUUUACAACUUUCAACAACGGAUCUCUUGGUUCUGGCAUCGAUGAAGAACGCAGCGAAAUGCGAUAAGUAGUGUGAAUUGCAGAAUUCAGUGAAUCAUCGAAUCUUUGAACGCACAUUGCGCCCCUCGGUAUUCCGUGGGGCAUGCCUGUUCGAGCGUCAUUACACCCCUCAAGCUCUGCUUGGUGUUGGGCCUCUGUCGCGCCUCUCCCGGCGUCGACUGGCCUCAAAUGCUCCGGCAGCCUCCCCGCCCGGCCCUCUCAGCGCAGCAGUUCGCGCCUGCGAGCCGGCGGGAGCGCCGCCUCCACCGAAGAACCCCCCGAGUUUGACCUCGAAUCAGGCAGGGAUACCCGCUGAACUUAAGCAUAUCAAUAAGCGGAGGAAAAGAAACCAACAGGGAUUGCCUCAGUAACGGCGAGUGAAGCGGCAACAGCUCAAAUUUGAAAUCUGGCGCCCUCUGGGCGUCCGAGUUGUAAUUUGAAGAGGGUGCUUUGGCGUUGACGGCGGUCUAAGUCCCUUGGAACAGGGCAUCGCAGAGGGUGAGAAUCCCGUAUGUGGCCGCCAGCCUUCGCCGUGUAAAGCCCCUUCGACGAGUCGAGUUGUUUGGGAAUGCAGCUCUAAAUGGGAGGUAAAUAUCUUCUAAAGCUAAAUACCGGCCAGAGACCGAUAGCGCACAAGUAGAGUGAUCGAAAGAUGAAAAGCACUUUGGAAAGAGAGUCAAACAGCACGUGAAAUUGUUGAAAGGGAAGCGCUUGCAGCCAGACUUGCUCGCAGUUGCUCAUCCGGGCUCUCGCCCGGUGCACUCUUCUGCGGGCAGGCCAGCAUCAGUUUGGGCAGCCGGAUAAAGACCUCUGUCACGUAUCUUCCUUCGGGAUGACCUUAUAGGGGAGGUGUAAUGCGGCUAGCCCGGACUGAGGUCCGCGCAUUUUGCUAGGAUGCUGGCGUAAUGGCUGUAAGCGGCCCGUCUUGAAACACGGACCAAGGAGUCUAACAUCUAUGCGAGUGUUUGGGUGUCAAGCCCGGGCGCGCAAUGAAAGUGAACGGAGGUGGGAGCCCUCUCGGGGGCGCACCAUCGACCGAUCCUGAUGUCUUCGGAUGGAUUUGAGUAAGAGCAUAGCUGUUGGGACCCGAAAGAUGGUGAACUAUGCUUGAAUAGGGUGAAGCCAGAGGAAACUCUGGUGGAGGCUCGCAGCGGUUCUGACGUGCAAAUCGAUCGUCAAAUUUGGGCAUAGGGGCGAAAGACUAAUCGAACUAUCUAGUAGCUGGUUCCUGC